GAUGAACGCUGGCGGCGUGCCUAAUACAUGCAAGUCGAGCGAACAGACGAGGAGCUUGCUCCUCUGACGUUAGCGGCGGACGGGUGAGUAACACGUGGAUAACCUACCUAUCAGACUGGGAUAACUUCGGGAAACCGGAGCUAAUACCGGAUAAUAUAUUGCAGCGCAUGGUUCAAUAGUGAAAGACGGCGUUGCUGUCUCUUAUAGAUGGAUCCGCGCCGCAUUAGCUAGUUGGUAAGGUAAAGGCUUACCAAGGCAACGAUGCGUGGCCGACCUGAGAGGGUGAUCGGCCACACUGGAACUGAGACACGCACCAGACUCCUACGGGAGGCAGCAGUAGGGAAUCUGCCGCAAUGGGCGAAAGCCUUACGGAGCAACGCCGCGUGAGUGAUGAAGGUCUUCGGAUCGUAAUACUCUGUUAUUAGGGAAGAACAGAUGUGUAAGUAACUAUGCACUUCUUGACGGUACCUAAUCAGAAAGCCACGGCUAACUACGUG
rnacentral:rRNA from 1 species